rnacentral:rRNA from 1 species
UAAUUGAAGAGUUUGAUCAUGGCUCAGAUUGAACGCUGGCGGCAGGCCUAACACAUGCAAGUCGAGCGGUAACAGGGGAAAGCUUGCUUUCCCGCUGACGAGCGGCGGACGGGUGAGUAAUGUAUGGGGAUCUGCCCGAUAGAGGGGGAUAACUACUGGAAACGGUGGCUAAUACCGCAUAAUCUCUAAGGAGCAAAGCAGGGGAACUUCGGUCCUUGC